AGAGUUUGAUCAUGGCUCAGGAUGAACGCUAGCGGCAGGCCUAACACAUGCAAGUCGAACGGUAAGGCCCUUUCGGGGGUACACGAGUGGCGCACGGGUGAGUAACGCGUAUGCAACCUACCUUUAACUAAGGAAUAGCCCGGAGAAAUUCGGAUUAAUACCUUAUAAUAUUCCAGAAUCACAUGUUUUUGGAAUUAAAGCUCAGGCGGUUAGAGAUGGGCAUGCGUGACGUUAGCUUGUUGGUGAGGUAAUAGCUCACCAAGGCUACGAUGUCUAGGGGGUCUGAGAGGAUGGUCCCCCACACUGGUACUGAGACACGGACCAGACUCCUACGGGAGGCAGCAGUGAGGAAUAUUGGGCAAUGGACGCAAGUCUGACCCAGCCAUGCCGCGUGCAGGAUGACAGCCUUAUGGGUUGUAAACUGCUUUUGUAUAGGAAGAAACUUUCGGUCGUGACCGGAACUGACUGUACUGUACGAAUAAGCAUCGGCUAACUCCGUGCCAGCAGCCGCGGUAAUACGGAGGAUGCAAGCGUUAUCCGGAUUUAUUGGGUUUAAAGGGUGCGUAGGCGGGAUUGUAAGUCAGUGGUGAAAUCUUGCAGCUUAACUGUAAAAUUGCCGUUGAUACUGCUAUCCUUGAAUGCAGUUGAGGUAGGCGGAAUGUGUAAUGUAGCGGUGAAAUGCUUAGAUAUUACACAGAACACCGAUUGCGUAGGCAGCUUACUAAACUGUGAUUGACGCUGAGGCACGAAAGCGUGGGGAGCGAACAGGAUUAGAUACCCUAGUAGUCC
rnacentral:rRNA from 1 species